CAAGAAAUGAAUAAAAUUAGAUAAAACACAUAAAGGUAGCGUGAUUAGAACAUGGAAAAACCUGCAGAAGCGUGAUUCUAUAGAAAUGAAUAAAUGUAUAAAUGUAUUGUGAUUUCGUGAUGAGAAAUGUGGGAAAAGAUUAAAGUGUCUCUAAAAACCACACCGCCCAUAGAAAAGGUUGAAAGUGGGGCACAUGAAAUGAAGAAAAUUAUAGAAAGCACAUAAAGGUAGCGUGAUUAGAACAGGGAAAAACCUGCAGAAAGGAAUAGAUGUAGCGUGAUUCAAUAGAAAGGAAUAAAGGUAUAAAUGUAUUGUGAUUCUGUGAUGAGAAGUGGGAAAAGAUUAAAAGUGGCUCUACAAACCAUAGCUCCCAUAGAAAAGGUUGAAUUUGG
rnacentral:lncRNA from 1 species